rnacentral:rRNA from 1 species
AUUGAACGCUGGCGGCAUGCCUUACACAUGCAAGUCGAACGGCAGCACGGGGCAACCUGGUGGCGAGUGGCGAACGGGUGAGUAAUGCAUCGGAACGUACCUUUCAGUGGGGGAUAACGUACCGAAAGUUACGCUAAUACCGCAUAUUCUGUGAGCAGGAAAGCAGGGGAUCGCAAGACCUUGCGCUGAUUGAGCGGCCGAUGUCAGAUUAGCUAGUUGGUGAGGUAAAGGCUCACCAAGGCGACGAUCUGUAGCGGGUCUGAGAGGAUGAUCCGCCACACUGGAACUGAGACACGGUCCAGACUCCUACGGGAGGCAGCAGUGGGGAAUUUUGGACAAUGGGGGCAACCCUGAUCCAGCCAUGCCGCGUGAGUGAAGAAGGCCUCCGGGUUGUAAAGCUCUUUCGGCCGGGAAGAAAUCGCACGGGCUAAUACCCUGUGUGGAUGACGGUACCGGAAUAAGAAGCACCGGCUAACUACGUGCCAGCAGCCGCAGUAA